CAGUGAAUUUGUGUGGAGCAGGAACUGAAGAACCCGGGAUAUUAAAAAUUUCCAACCACCGUUUGUACCCUGUUGAACUGUCACUAUCAUCGCAUAAGUUUACCAUCGCCAUUACGCAGAUCGGUAUAUUGCAGUUAUCGAGGAUGUUUAAUGAUGAAAAAACAAAAUCUCAUCUCGAGUGUGACUUCGUAAUUAACGGGUUGCCAAACAGGAGCAGCCUGUGCCGACAUAUAGCUAACUUAAACUACAUUAUCAAGCGCCUUCUCUCGAGUAAAGAUCUUCGACAAGGCGAGGAAAAUCUAUAUAUGAAGCAUAGUAUCCUUAAACAGGUAUCCAGUGAGUUUGGUCAGCACCUCCUAUAUUAUUGAUUCGAGCAUUCAAGUUUGAUUACGGAAUCAAACUUGAGACUUAACUACUAGAAGGGGCAAGGUUGGCUGUGCGGAAGUUGGAGGAUCCGAGGAUGGUUGAAGUUAAUUGGAGUAAACUGCGAAUGACGCAGUUAGGACAGUGUCUUUUUUGCGGAGUGGGUAGCUGUCAGUCUGUCUCACCGAAAUCAUUACUAUACACCCCACUUUGGGUAUGCCCUUUGGCAGUUUUUUUUUUUUUUUCUUGGGAAGACUUCGUUGAAGGGGUUAACUGUACGUUAACGUAACUUGUGUACCAGUCGUUAUUUGUUUAGAAAAUUGCCAGGAAAAUGCUAAAUAUUUCAAAAAUAUAUGCAAAAUUUUUUUCUGAAGUUUUGUAAAAAUGUUUAUCCAAUAGGGAAAAUUAUUUCCUUCAACUUCCUUAGCGGAAAUUAAACACUUUUUGAAAAAUUGAGUCAAGAAAUGUUUCGAAUGAAAAUUAACUACCCUGGAUUACUGAUUAAUGUUCUUUAUUUCUUUAGAAAACUACUUCCCUCUAUUGACGGUGACUAACUUUUCUCGUUGGAAGACUUGAAUCUACUUCAAAACUAAUCUUCUCUGGAAAGCGGACUUCAUUCUCCUCCUCCUUAAC